rnacentral:pre_miRNA from 1 species
UAUGUACUCCCUCCGUUCGGAAUUACUUGUCUUGGAAAUGGAUGUAUCUAGAACUAAAAUACAUCUAGAUACAUCCAUUUUCGCGACAAGUAAUUCCGAACGGAGGGAGUAGUAG